UACCAGCUCUCCGAGUGGUAGGGAUGAUUAUUGGGCUUAAAGCGUCCGUAGCCGGCUUAGCAAGUCUCCUGUUAAAUUCAGCGACCUAAUCGUUGAGCCGCGGGAGACACUACUAGGCUAGGAGGCGGGAGAGGCCGACGGUAUUCUCGGGGUAGGGGUGAAAUCCUAUAAUCCCGGGAGGACCACCAGUGGCGAAGGCUGUCGGCUAGAACGCGCUCGACGGUGAGGGACGAAAGCUGGGGGAGCGAACCGGAUUAGAUACCGGGCAGUCCCAGCUGUAAACGAUGCGGGCUAGGUGUUGGGGUGGCUACGAGCCAACUUCAGUGCCGCAGGGAAGCCAUUAAGCCCGCCGCCUGGGGAGUACGGCCGCAAGGCUGAAACUUAAAGGAAUUGGCGGGGAGCACCACAAGGCGUGAAGCUUGCGGUUC
rnacentral:rRNA from 1 species